rnacentral:rRNA from 1 species
ACACUCCUGCGGGAGGCAGCAGUGGGGAAUAUUGCACAAUGGGCGCAAGCCUGAUGCAGCCAUGCCGCGUGUAUGAAGAAGGCCUUCGGGUUGUAAAGUACUUUCAGCGGGGAGGAAGGCAAUACGGUUAAUAACCGUGUUGAUUGACGUUACCCGCAGAAGAAGCACCGGCUAACUCCGUGCCAGCAGCCGCGGUAAUACGGAGGGUGCAAGCGUUAAUCGGAAUUACUGGGCGUAAAGCGCACGCAGGCGGUCUGUCAAGUCGGAUGUGAAAUCCCCGGGCUCAACCUGGGAACUGCAUUCGAAACUGGCAGGCUUGAGUCUUGUAGAGGGGGGUAGAAUUCCAGGUGUAGCGGUGAAAUGCGUAGAGAUCUGGAGGAAUACCGGUGGCGAAGGCGGCCCCCUGGACAAAGACUGACGCUCAGGUGCGAAAGCGUGGGGAGCAAACAGGAUUAGAUACCCCGGUAGUCCCA